rnacentral:lncRNA from 1 species
GUAGCAUAAAUACAUCCAUGAAGGAAUUUUGCGUUUGCUCUCAAUACUCUCAUCAAGUAAUACUCACUUUGUCAAAAUACCAUUGGAAAGUAAUGUUAGUCUGUGAUUUUCAGUCCUGAGGGCGAAAGUGCCGAUCUAGAAAUGAAAUCCAAGCAUUUAUCAUGAAAAAGGUGAAGUUUAUCCCACGGAAAAGUUCGACUUCAUGCUUGGAGAGAGUAGCAAACGAAAAUUCAAGAAGAAACAUCGAAGAGACAGUCAAGGCAACGUAUUAUCUGUGAAGCUACCAUUUCACAAACCAGAGAGUUCGCUCAACAAGACUCCUCUUGGAAGUUCCACUCCUGUUUCCACGCCUGUUGAUCCUGGACGCAGAAUAAAAACUCUGCUCCCUAAAGCAAAACUAGUUGAACCUACCCCUGCUACUCCUGUUGUGCGCCAGUACCUGCUGUGGUAUCCACUCCAAUCUCAAGCUCAAGUGAAUCAGGAUCUGCUGCAGGAACUGGUGGAACCUCUGGUACCUCGGCUCGGCAACAACUGGCAGCGGGGGUGCUGGAUGCAUCUGUCCCAUCCAGAAUUGCGGCAAACUGUUCAGGAGUGAAAACUACUUGGCGAUGCAUGUAAAACAUUACCAUGCAGAGUACAAUCAGAUUCUAGGCACAACUCCCAACGUUGCUGAUCUUGCCUAUGCCCGAACUGUGGGUCAAUCUAUAGACGAUGUGUCUCCAUCGACAUCCUUUUUGGAUAAAUUGAACCAGCUCGAGAAGCAGAAAGCAGCUGCCUCUCAAUCACCAGCAUCUGCUUUGUCUCCCCAGUCAGUUGCCUCAAUUCCAUCUCCUUCUCGCAGAAA